AUUGCCUGUUGGCGUCCACUGGGCUGGGCGAAAAUUGUACUGCCUCGAUCGAUUUGUACUGCAGUUGUACUGCGAGAGCGCUCAAGCUGUUGUACUGCACGCGAGCGAGGAAAGAAAACCGCCAAACAUUUCCUCUGGAUGCCCUCUCUCCUCUCAAUUUCGCUCUCCCUGCCGACCCCUAAUUUCUCUCCCGUCCCAACCUGCCCGGCGGCGGCAAAAGCUAACGGGACUAGCGAUAGGGAGCGAGCAGCAGCGCCGCCACGACGAGGUCAAGAACCCCGGCGGCCGCCUCCCCACCGCCCUGGAAAAGGGAUCCCCUUUUCUUCGCCCUGGCGGUCAUCCGGGAGAAGGACGACCUGUGCCUCAAGACUUGCCGCCGCCGCGACAUGGAGGCCGGCCUGCUGAUGCUGCUCUCCUCCCGUGUCGGGGACGACGGGCUGCUGCUGCACGCCGGUGAAUAUCGGCGAUCGAGUACUCACCGGUGAGGGCAAGGAUAGGAGGCAGCGGGUUCAAGAGGGCGCCUAGGGGAUUUCUUGGCACAUGAGUGAUAGUCCACAUGGAACAUGUAACUAUGUAAGGGCUAACCGUUGUUCUUCGUCUUCCAUCUGUGAGCCCUGUGUACACAUAGGUUCUUGUGGAGUUGGCCGAGCUCCAGGACAGGGUCAAGUUGCUCAAGAUUGGAGACGACGGCGACGGCAACCACAAUGAGGCGGUGUCAAGGAUGCACCGAGCCUCAAGGGUGGCGGGGGCGGGGACGGCUGACAGUGAAGAUAUUUGUUCAAGUUAAGUUUUCACAAAGAUACAAAACUAUUAGUACAAUGGUAUUGUAUUGUUGCGUCAAUUUGUCAAAUUAUGAUGGCAGUGAGCAUUGUUGAGACAAAAACUAUAAUCUUUCGCAUUUUAGAUGAUUAUAUUGAAAAAUAAGUUAUGUUUAUUUGUUAUAACGAGGUACAUCCAGCCUGAUUUUGCAACACCCUACUUCUUUAGUACCACCCGCUUCAUCACUUUGUUGCAUCUGCUCAUCUUUUAACUAGGAAAUGUUUCACUAACUGACAAUAUUACUCGCAAAAGUAACUCUGCUUCUUCUAGACGAGUCCACAAGUGCAUUAGAAGAUAAAAAUGAGGUAACAAUCCAUAUACCGUCGUUGUAUUUUAUUUAUUACCUGCUGCUUCCUACUGUGAACUAUUGAAAAAUGACAAGUCAUUAGUUAUAACUUCAAUACCACUUUUGACCAUUGUGCCUCUGGCACAGAUUCAUCUAUAGAGUCUGAUCGAAGCAAUAGAGAGAAGCUAACAUAUAUAAGCGCUGGUCAUUUGAAAACACGUCAUGAGUUUCACAACAAGGCUUUGAUUUUCAAGAAUGACUUGUACCCUUCCUCUUUUUCCAACUAACAGUGGAAAUGCACAAUUUCUCCUAUGUUCUCUGUAGGCUUAGUCCUCUACGUGUGGAACUAUUCUGAUAAGCCCCUGCCAUGCCUGGUAAGUUCAUUUCAGUGGAGUUUGUUGUUUUUGUGGUCAUGCCGCUAAAUUUAUGCUCUUUAUUUUCAAUAUGCAUGUGUAUUACCUUUUUUCCUCCUGUAGAAUAUACGUUGACCCCAUUUGGAAUGUAGGAAUCACAUUAGGAUUCUAGAAAAAUUACUAUGUUACAUGCAUGACUCUUGGCCAGUGAGCAUUGUUCUAUUUUGUGUGUCUUGGGCUCUGAGCAUAAACUUCGCAAAUCACUAUCUGAUUAGAAGCAGCAUGGCAUAGAUGGGUGCUAGGAGAUGAAGGUGAGAGAGAAUUGUAAGCACUUCAAUGAACCUUACUUACUGUAAGCACAAAAGCAAAGCCAGCGCCCAGCCCUCGCACGCCACGUGAGCCUCUCAAGAUUAACCUUUUCUAUAAGCACAAUUACGAAAGCACUUAAUCUGAUAUGCCAAAAUAAUGCACACUUAUUGUUAGCCCGAUCUUUAGCUUCUAUAAAUUAAAUCCAUAGUAAUUUCCAAAAUUUUAUUGUCGUGAUUGUAUGUUCACAUAGAACCAUCGACAAAAUGGUUUACUGAUGGUGUUAGUAAACUGUUUUGAUUUCUUCAGAAUAUUGUUGUGCUUUAAAUUCUCUUUGUUCCUGAAUGAUAUCAUAUUGAAGCCAAAAAUUUCUGAACUUUGUGAUCUGGGCCUAACAUGAUUUGACAUCCUCUGUGUUUUAGAUGAGCAGUAGCAUUAUACAUUUAUUUUUCGCGAUAUGGAGUAAGUAGGAAACAAUUUAACAUUACUUUUGCUUAGGAGAUGGCCAACAAAAAUCAUAAGCAAAAAUAUAAAGUACUGUAGUGAUUGCUUCUACUUCCUUCUGAGCCUUGUAGUUGUGCUGCUCCAUUCCUAAUACAUAAAGAAGGCAAUAUCCAAAUCUAUCAAAAGUUUUACUAUAAUUUGAGUUUUUUUAUAAAGUAUUUAAUGGAACAUACGGGUAGUUCAUUCUUGGUCAAAAGCUCAUUUUUCCCCUUACCAAAUUAGCUCUUAGUGCCUUUUGUUUCUAUUGGUAAGUUGCUAGAAAUGUGCAAGAUGAUUUCUGUAAUUUGAUUCUCAGUCCCAUUCUUACAGAAAUUGUAAGUCAUUUCAACUUCACAUCUUGAUGGUAAUAUUAUCUAGCAUAUUUUUGGCCUGGGUUAGCUGUGUUCUUACAUUCAAAUAAGGAACAGUGUUGAGCUGAAACCUGGAGGAAAUAAAGAAUCACAUUGAACCUCAUUGUCCUAGGUUAGCUGUAUUUGUGGUUGGUGCCAUUAUUCUCCAGUGUAUAUACUUAUUUUCCUGCUAAAAUUUGACAUCAAUUGUGGAUAUUAUCUUCUCUAUCUGUCGAUGUAAUUGGACUCUCUGUGUCUAUUUGUAUGCUCUGUUUGCUGAUAUGUUCUUUAUUUGACAAUGUGUAUAUCUAGGAAAGUAUGUAGCAAUUGAUGUCUGAUAUCAUGUAGGGACUAUUUGAUUUAGUGGAAUUUCGAAUUAGUUUAUGUCGGUGUUUCUUGUAGUUUAGGAUACUGCUACUACCACCCGAUAAAGUUUUGUUUUGUCACUUGCGGAGUUGUUUAACGCUACCACCACCCAAUAUUCAUAAUGUGCUUGUUGGCUAUAGAGCUGUUAGUAGCACAUAUGUACUCUGCCCACUAGGGAAUUAACAAGUAAUCAUCUGCUCCAUGCCUUUUGUUCUUACAUUGAGUUGUAGAUUCAUGAUUGUUGCAGAGGCUGCCCACACUUCAACCAUUGGCUGUUGGCAUGCCUGACAUCACAGCUCAAUACAUGCAGGCAUGAAAGACAAACUUCGUUUAUCUGUCCAUACCAAGUCUAUGGAGAAACAAUUGAGCAGCUUCUCUCUUUGUGCUGGAUUACAGGAACUUCCCCUACGGUCUACGAAUGCAAUACAUCAUCUUUGUUGUUUGUUCUUCUUUGAUACUUCAGGCCUAGCUGCUCACCUAUGUUUGCUCUGUCUUCUAUGUGUGCGCCUUUUGUUAGUGUACCAACUUGAUGUGUGCUAAUUAGUUCAGGCAUACUUUUAACCUUGUAUGUUAAGUAAACUCAUGGAACCAUCGUUACCUGUAUCAGCCACUUGUGUUUCAAUCAAGAAAAAUGAAAUGUA